rnacentral:lncRNA from 1 species
UAUUUUUGUAGAAGAUGGAUUUCUUGGGCAGUGGAUUGGGGUCAGGAGAAUAAGCCCCUCGCUUCUCCUGUCUAUAUUUCAUUUCUGCUAGAGUGCUGCUGACACCCGCCCCUUUCAAUAACCACUAAAAUUAAUUAUUGAGUCUUCCAAAGAAAGGAGUUUGAGUUUAUAAUCUGAUCAAAAUUUCAAAUACUUGAAUCCCCCAAGACUUCCUAAUCAAUGGUUUGGGGAUUAAAAUAAAACAAUACAAAAUAAAAUCAAAUACAGAAGAAUUUCCUCAGGUUUGGACCUGAAUAUCUAGUUUAUAUGAAAUUUCUCUCUUUUUUUUUCAGAUCUUUGCAGCAUAUUUUUGAACCUCACUAUGCCUUAAUCAGAGAAGUUUCCAUUUUCAAAGACAGUUUAUCUUUUCACUGCAGUAAACACAGGCGAGGUUCUUUCCAUGAUGUGUAAUACAUGAUUGUGACCCACAGUUGCCCCACUGUGCUGUGGAACUCCAGACCCUGUUCUUCCUAUCUGUGGUGUACCUUCCAUCUCCACCCUACUCAGCCUCUGGUAAUCACUAUUCUGCUUUCAGGUCAACAUUGUUAAACUGCCACAUGUGAGUGAACAUGCAAUAUUAGUCUUUGUGUUUACUUGAAACUGCAUCCUGGAGGGAAGUCUACUGGUUCUCAAUGCUCAGAAGCCUCUCCUUUCUGUCCUCUUGAGUGCUGAUCAGUCAGCCACCCUGGCUCGGCUCCACAAAUCCUUCCAAGGCUUGAGUGACCCAGAGCGGGAGGAUACACUGGCACCCAAAACCUCCACCUGGUCCUGAUGCUGACACUUGGAAUUGCUGGGGACAAGUGAGGGGCUCCAAUUGUGGGGUCAACUGAAGAAGGACAAGUGGAAAUGGUGAGAGUACUUUUCAUUCCAUGCUGGCCCCACACGCAAAAGAGGAAACUCGUAUUGUGACAGCACAGUGGUUUGUUAAAUUGUUUUCAGUUGUGUCUCGGGACUCACACCAAGUUCUGAUGAAGGCUGAACUUUAAAGGAUUUAAUAG